UGGGGAAUAUUGCACAAUGGGCGCAAGCCUGAUGCAGCCAUGCCGCGUGUAUGAAGAAGGCCUUCGGGUUGUAAAGUACUUUCAGCGGGGAGGAAGGCGAUAAGGUUAAUAACCUUGUCGAUUGACGUUACCCGCAGAAGAAGCACCGGCUAACUCCGUGCCAGCAGCCGCGGUAAUACGGAGGGUGCAAGCGUUAAUCGGAAUUACUGGGCGUAAAGCGCACGCAGGUGGUCUGUCAAGCCGGAUGUGAAAUCCCCGGGCUCAACCUGGGAACGGCAUUCGAAACUGGCAGGCUAGAGUCUUGUAGAGGGGGGUAGAAUUCCAGGUGUAGCGGUGAAAUGCGUAGAGAUCUGGAGGAAUACCGGUGGCGAAGGCGGCCCCCUGGACAAAGACUGACGCUCAGGUGCGAAAGCGUGGGGAGCAAACA
rnacentral:rRNA from 1 species